rnacentral:rRNA from 1 species
UGGGGAAUAUUGGACAAUGGGGGGAACCCUGAUCCAGCCAUGCCGCGUGUGUGAAGAAGGCCUUAUGGUUGUAAAGCACUUUAAGCGAGGAGGAGGGUACUGGUAUUAAUACUACCAGCUACUGGACGUUACUCGCAGAAUAAGCACCGGCUAACUCUGUGCCAGCAGCCGCGGUAAUACAGAGGGUGCGAGCGUUAAUCGGAUUUACUGGGCGUAAAGCGUGCGUAGGCGGCUAAUUGAGUCGGAUGUGAAAUCCCUGGGCUUAACUUAGGAAAUGCAUUCGAUACUGGUCAGCUAGAGUAUGGGAGAGGAUGGUAGAAUUCCAGGUGUAGCGGUGAAAUGCGUAGAGAUCUGGAGGAAUACCGAUGGCGAAGGCAGCCAUCUGGCCUAAUACUGACGCUGAGGUACGAAAGCAUGGGGAGCAAACAGG